CAUGGAGACUGUGAUGUCUCACGAGCUCGCAGCUGUCCCACCCUCUUUGUUUUUUGAUGAUGAAAGCAUGAGGAAGACAACAAAAGCUGACCUGACCAAGAACCUCGAGGCUGUUGUUGAAGAGACACAGCAGCUGCCAAAUGUUAAAGAACCAUCAGCAUAUAUCAUUGAUGGCAUGGCUCUUCUUCAAAGUCUCAAUGAUUCAGCCUUUCAAACGUUCAAUGACCUGGGUGAGUGUGUCUGGAAAAAGAUUGCAACUUUAAUGGGAAAGGAAGGUAACAGCUGUGUCGUUAUAGUGUUUGAUAGAUAUGACCACCAACACUCAGUCAAAGAUCUUGAAAGACAAAGAAGAGGCACCAUUCAUACCAGCAGACAAACAGAUAUCAUCACAGGACAAACAAGUGUUCCAAACUACAGAAAAUACCUCAGCAUCAGCGGAAACAAGGCUGAUCUAUGUAGCUUUGUCAGCACCUACAUCGCCAGUACUGGGCCAACAAGAAUUUCUUCAGGGAACACUGUCAUCUUGGCAGGUGGCUUUGAAAAUGGUCAGAAGGUCAAGAGGGUUAGCCAGUCAGGCAUUGACUGCUUGAAAGAUCUUUACAGUGACCAGGAGGAGGCUGACACGAGGCUGGUGUACAUGGCAAUACACCUUGCACAGUCACAUUCUCGUCUAAUUGUCAAAUGUGAUGAUACAGAUGUACUAGUUUUGCUUCUGUACUAUUCAAGCAAAGGAAUGUUUGGAUCCUCAGCAGUGUUUAUGCACUCUUGACAUGGCCUUAAGAAAAGAUUCAUCCCUAUCUGUUUGAUCGCUCAGAAGCUUGGAGCAGUGCUUCACACAGCAGUGCCCCAACAGUAGAUGCCUUCCAGCAACAUGUGCUGAGAGCCAUGUACCAAACAGCAGUGUGGCGUCACAGCCACCCGGCCAAACCUCUUCUCUGGAACCCAGUUGGUAGAGGAUAGAGGCUCAGAGAAGUUGGGUGCAUUGAACCUGUGAUGUUCCAGAAGGCACCAGCACCUAAAGAAGUUAGAGACAUCACCCACCUCUACUGUAAAGACGGAAACUCCAACAAUGCCACCAAAUGCCAGUGUCUUUCAGUGGACUUGACCUGCACAGAGUUUUGCUCUUGCCCUUUCCCAGACUGUCCAAAUAUG
rnacentral:lncRNA from 1 species